rnacentral:sRNA from 1 species
UUCUUCUCGAUCUUCU